AUUGAACGCUGGCGGCAGGCUUAACACAUGCAAGUCGAACGAGCGGCGGACGGGAGAGUAAUGUCUGGGACUCUGCCUGAUGGAGGGGGAUCACUACUGGACACGGUCGCUAAUACCGCAUACCCUCAGAUGUGCCCAGAUGGGAUUAGCUUGUAGGUGGGGUAAUGGCUCACCUAGGCGACGAUCCCUAGCUGGUCUGAGAGGAUGACCAGCCACACUGGAACUGAGACACGGUCCAGACUCCUACGGGAGGCAGCAGUGGGGAAUAUUGCACAAUGGGCGCAAGCCUGAUGCAGCCAUGCCGCGUGUGUGAAGAAGGCCUUCGGGUUGUAAAGCACUUUCAGCGGGGAGGCGUUACCCGCAGAAGAAGCACCGGCUAACUCCGUGCCAGCAGCCGCGGUAAUUC
rnacentral:rRNA from 1 species